rnacentral:rRNA from 1 species
AACGAACGCUGGCGGCAUGCCUAACACAUGCAAGUCGAACGAUCACUUCGGGUCUGGUGGCGCACGGGUGCGUACCGCGUGGGAACCUGCCCUUAGGCUCGGAAUAACUCAGAGAAAUUUGAGCUAAUAUCGGAUAAUGUCUUCGGACCAACGAUUUAUCGCCUUUGGAUGGGCCCGAGUUGGAUUAGCUGGUUGGGGGGGUAAAGGCCUACCACGGCGACGAUCCAUAGCUGGUCUGUGAGGAUGAUCAGCGACACUGGGACUGGGACACGGCCCAGACUCCUGGAGGAGGCGGGAGUGGGUGAUAUAGGAGAACGGGCGAGAGGCUGAACCAGCGCUGGCGGGUGAGUGGUCAAGGCGUUAGAGUUGUAAAGCAGUUUUAACCGAGCUGAUAAUGACGGUACCGGGAGAAUAAGCACCGGCUAACUCCGUG